rnacentral:rRNA from 1 species
CGAAGGUUGGCUAAUCCUGGUCGGACAUCAGGAGGUUAGUGCAAUGGCAUAAGCCAGCUUGACUGCGAGCGUGACGGCGCGAGCAGGUGCGAAAGCAGGUCAUAGUGAUCCGGUGGUUCUGAAUGGAAGGGCCAUCGCUCAACGGAUAAAAGGUACUCCGGGGAUAACAGGCUGAUACCGCCCAAGAGUUCAUAUCGACGGCGGUGUUUGGCACCUCGAUGUCGGCUCAUCACAUCCUGGGGCUGAAGUAGGUCCCAAGGGUAUGGCUGUUCGCCAUUUAAAGUGGUACGCGAGCUGGGUUUAGAACGUCGUGAGACAGUUCGGUCCCUAUCUGCCGUGGGCGCUGGAGAACUGAGGGGGGCUGCUCCUAGUACGAGAGGACCGGAGUGGACGCAUCACUGGUGUUCGGGUUGUCAUGCCAAUGGCACUGCCCGGUAGCUAAAUGCGGAAGAGAUAAGUGCUGAAAGCAUCUAAGCACGAAACUUGCCCCGAGAUGAGUUCUCCCUGAGACUUUAGGUCUCCUGAAGGAACGUUGAAGACGACGACGUUGAUAGGCCGGGUGUGUAAGCGCAGCGAUGCGUUGAGCUAACCGGUACUAAUGAACCGUGAGGCUUAACCUU